rnacentral:rRNA from 1 species
AUGGCCGCCUUCCGCCUCCUCUUCCUCCUGCUUGCCUUCUCCGCCAGCUGCAACAGCAUUGCCGCUGCCAGCGCGAUGUACAAGGCGAGGGCCAGUGUGAUUUUCAGACAUGAUGCUCGCACCAUCGAGGUCAAAUUCGUCCUCCCCGCCAGCAACAGCCCAGUCGCCGCUGGGGACGAGGACCUGCAGCUGCGGCAGGAAGCCAUGGCGCAGGCCAUUACCGUGAUCUCUCGCCACAGGCCAGAGACCAGCGACGCCGAGAAGCUCAAGUGGGCGCUGGGGGUGGUGAACCUCGAGGCCCAGCGGUGGAAGCCCAUCUUCAGAGCCGUCAGCACGGUGCUGGAGAGCGGCGCCGACGACGGCACCAAGGAGGACGCCUUCGCCCAGGCCAAGGAGGAGCUCAACCGCGAGCUCGGCCAGGAAGGUCCCAACGACCUCAAGAUCGACUUCGGGUAUAUGUGA